AUUGAACGCUGGCGGUAGGCCUAACACAUGCAAGUCGAACGGCAGCACAGUAAGAGCUUGCUCUUACUGGUGGCGAGUGGCGGACGGGUGAGGAAUACAUCGGAAUCUACUUUUUCGUGGGGGAUAACGUAGGGAAACUUACGCUAAUACCGCAUACGACCUACGGGUGAAAGCAGGGGAUCUUCGGACCUUGCGCGAUUGAAUGAGCCGAUGUCGGAUUAGCUAGUUGGCGGGGUAAAGGCCCACCAAGGCGACGAUCCGUAGCUGGUCUGAGAGGAUGAUCAGCCACACUGGAACUGAGACACGGUCCAGACUCCUACGGGAGGCAGCAGUGGGGAAUAUUGGACAAUGGGCGCAAGCCUGAUCCAGCAAUACCGCGUGGGUGAAGAAGGCCUUCGGGUUGUAAAGCCCUUUUGUUGGGAAAGAAAAGCAGCAGGUUAAUACCCCGCUGUUCUGACGGUACCCAAAGAAUAAGCACCGGCUAACUUCGUG
rnacentral:rRNA from 1 species